rnacentral:rRNA from 1 species
CCUACGGGAGGCAGCAGUGGGGGAUAUUGCACAAUGGGGGAAACCCUGAUGCAGCGACGCCGCGUGUGGGAAGACGGUCCUCUGGAUUGUAAACCACUGUCCCCAGGGCCGAAGAUGACGGUACCUGGGGAGGCAGCUCCGGCUAACUACGUGCCAGCAGCCGCGGUAAUACGUAGGGAGCGAGGGUUUUCGUGAAUUACUGGGUGUAUAGGGGGCGUAGGCGGGAAUGCAAGUUGGGUGUCAAACCUACCGGCUCAACCGGUAGCCGACCUUAAAAAUGCAGUUCUUGAGUGAAGUAGAGGUAGGCGGAAUUCCUAGGGUAGCGGUGAAAUGCGUAGAUAUUAGGAGGAACACCAGUGGCGAAGGCGGCCUGCUGGGCUUUUACUGACGCUGAGGCUCGAAAGUGUGGGGAGCAAACAGGAUUAGAUACCCGAGUAGUC